UACGUAGGGUGCAAGCGUUGUCCGGAAUUAUUGGGCGUAAAGAGCUCGUAGGCGGUUUGUUGCGUCGGCUGUGAAAUCCCGAGGCUCAACCUCGGGUCUGCAGUCGAUACGAGCAAACUAGAGUGUUGCAGGGGAGACUGGAAUUCCUGGUGUAGCGGUGAAAUGCGCAGAUAUCAGGAGGAACACCGGUGGCGAAGGCGGGUCUCUGGGCAACAACUGACGCUGGAGGAGCGGAAAUGCAUGGGGAGCGAACAGG
rnacentral:rRNA from 1 species